GUUCUGGUUCAUCAGUCUUCUAAAUUGGUCUGCUCUUCCUGGAGGGUGGGACCAUAACUAACACGAGAAGGUCACUCCUUUGUUUCUAGUCUGCUAUCCUUGUUUGACCUAUCAUACAUAAUCCCCACACUUCCUAACUUGGGGAAGCAGAAAAUGAUGGGUGGACUAAUGCCUACAUGUUGGUAUUCCAACAUAACAUGUAGAUGAGUUAAGUUUAACUGUAAUUUUAAAGUGUGUAUAUUAAGAUGUAUCAAUAUUUCUUACCAUGUAGUUUGCUGUUUGUUAGUGCCUUUGGGCUAUUAGUUUGCUUUAUGUUCACUAGAACAUGAAUACCUUAGAUCUACUAGAACAGUACCUAGUAUUGUUGGAUAAAUGAAGUGGUGAAGAAAACCAGAGGUAAGAAAGGAGAAGAGAGGGAGAAGAAAGAAAGAAGAAAAGAAGAAAAUCAUUUGACUUUCCCCAAGUAAUCGAAGCAGUUUAUUUUUAAAAUCAGAUAUAGUUCAGUAGUUACUGAACCAUGGGCCAGGCACAAUGGCUCAUGACUGCAAUCCCAGCACUACUUGGAGGCUAAGGCAGAAGGAUUUUUGUGGUCAAAAGUUCAAGACCAGCAUGGGCAACAUAGCAAGACCAAGUCUCCACCAAAAACAAUUUAAAUUAAAUUAACCAAGAGUGAUAACACAUGUCUGUAGUCCCAGCUAAACAUGAGGCUGAGGUUGUAGGACCACUUGAGCCCAGGAGUUCCAGGCAUCUGUGAACUAUGAUCUCACCAAUGCACUCAAGACUGUGCUAUGCAGCAAGACCCCAUCUCUGGAAAAAUAAAAUAGUUACUGAACCCUAUGUAACUUUUUUCCACUCAGAAUGUAAAGAGAUUGUGUUUGUUUUACACAUGAGAAGAAACUUUGUAUCUAUAAUGCUUAUAAAUCUCAUGACAAAAGAAUAAGAAUAAUAUCUAUCUAAUUUAAUUUGAAUUAUUUAUUUGCCUUAAGAAAUGAUUUAUAUUUUCUUGUAUAUUACCCAGA
rnacentral:lncRNA from 10 species